ACGCGUGGGAAUGUGCCCUUCUCUACGGAAUAGUCCCGGGAAACUGGGUUUAAUACCGUAUACGCCCUUCGGGGGAAAGAUUUAUCGGAGAAGGAUCAGCCCGCGUCUGAUUAGGUAGUUGGUGGGGUAAUGGCCUACCAAGCCUACGAUCAGUAGCUGGUUUUAGAGGAUGAUCAGCCACACUGGGACUGAGACACGGCCCAGACUCCUACGGGAGGCAGCAGUGGGGAAUCUUAGACAAUGGGCGCAAGCCUGAUCUAGCCAUGCCGCGUGAGUGAUGAAGGCCUUAGGGUCGUAAAACUCUUUCGCCAGGGAUGAUAAUGACAGUACCUGGUAAAGAAGCCCCGGCUAACUCCGUGCCAGCAGCCGCGGUAAUACGGAGGGGGCUAGCGUUGUUCGGAAUUACUGGGCGUAAAGCGCGCGUAGGCGGACUAUUAAGUCAGGGGUGAAAUCCCGGGGCUCAACCCCGGAACUGCCUUUGAUACUGGUAGUCUUGAGUUCGAGAGAGGUGAGUGGAAUUCCGAGUGUAGAGGUGAAAUUCGUAGAUAUUCGGAGGAACACCAGUGGCGAAGGCGGCUCACUGGCUCGAUACUGACGCUGAGGUGCGAAAGUGUGGGGAGCAAACAGGAUUAGAUACCCUGGUAGUCCACACCGUAAACGAUGAAUGCCAGUCGUCGGCAAGCAUGCUUGUCGGUGACAC
rnacentral:rRNA from 1 species